UGGUGUUUUUCUCCCCCCUGCUGUGCUCGGUGCCUCCCCCUCUCUCUCAGACGGUGCCUAUGAGGGCAUUGCCCUGCAUUGAGCUCGGCCCCCGGCUGGUUCCUGAGAGCCCCACAUGGCUCGUUAUCCAUUUCUGAGUAGCUCGGGAACAGCCUGCCCGCUCUGACAGCUGACACAGGGGUCAGUCAAAGAGGAUGACUCACCCUCUUGCCUUCCCCAGUAAUUUGUCACCCCGCAGAUGACACAUCUUAGUGGCUCCUCCAGAGCUCUGGCAGCCCCGUGGGGAGCAGUGCCUCGGGGAUGCUCUUUUUUUAUCCUUGUUAGCUGUUUAUUCAGUUAUUAUGUGCUCCCCAAACCCUGAGGAUGGUGAUGAGCCAGAGAGGCUGGGUGCCAGGCUCUCCUUUCUGUAAGCCAGGGCAGGAGCUCAAGUGAGCCCAAAACACUGGGUACUUGGGAAGUUUGUGAGGCUCAUAUUUUUCUGUGUGUUCACCCAGAAUGCCUAUUUCUUGUUGCCUUUUUUUCCCUCAAGUUGGAGCAAGUUUAUUGACUGCAACAGGCAGGGACAUGGAGCCUUGUAGCACCAUGAUGGGUGUUUUGACAGGGAGAAAAGCUGUGAAGGAGCCUGGAUAGGAGUAAAGCCUGAAGUGGCUUGAGCUGGGGUGAGAGAAAUUGCCAAAGACUUGGUUUCAACCCCAGAUUUGAAGCAGAGAAGCUGCUUUGCUGGCUGGGGUUGUGUGUGCAUCAGUCUGGAUUAACCUGGCAGUGUAAAUCCAGCCAUGGCUGGGCUGGAAGGCAGCAGCUGGCACCAGCCUCUGGUGGUGGGACAGGGAGGAGGCUAAAUUAAAUUACAAACACAUUUCUAUUGCCUGCCUGAAUCACAGCCUGCCUUAAACAUGGAAGGUUCUGCUUGUGGAAAAGGAGGUUGUGAGGCAGCAGUGAGGGGUGACUUUGGGCAGGAAGGAGGUGUGGAUAGCCAAGAGGGGGUAAGUCUGAGAGGAAGGGCUGUGGUGCUGCUUUGGGUAGCCCAUGUGAGAGCAUGUGGGCAGGGAGGACAGGUCAUGUCCUCUUCCAGUGGAAGACGUGCCAGCCUGGCAGUCCCAGGAUGAGGGUGGGGGUGAGGACACCCAGUUGCUGAAGGGCUCAGCUGAAAAGUGGCACUGAGAGCAUUGGGGCUUGCCUGGGUUUGGCAGGAAGACAAGCAGCUUGUGCUCUUCGUUGGGCUCAUCCUAUCCACAGGUGUGGGCACUGAUGUCUCAUUCACAGACACCAGGGAGCUCUGCAGCCUCCUUGGAGCGUGAUGGGCGUUGGGUGAUUAAGGAACCUCCCACGUGAAAUGAGGUGCUCUGAGAUUAUUUCUCUAACCAGGCUGAACCCUGGGAGUGGGGCAGGGCAAACUCAGGGUGAGCUUUUCAAACAGCUGUGCAGAGGUUGUUUGAGUGUGGGAAAAGUUCAUCUCGGCGUUGAGCACUGCCUGUCAGAACAGCUCCGUGCUCAGGGCAGAGAUGAGAGGUACGAGCUGCCCCUUGGUGGCAUUCAAGAGCAUGAUGAGUUUGCAGCCGCCUGCCACGGCUGCUCUGCUUCGCUUGAAGGGGUUUGUGUUUGAUGGAUAAGGUAGUUUUGUCACAGGAGGGUGAGGAGUGAUGGUUCAUUGCCUUGAGUGUCACCUGGACCCGUGGUUGUUUCCUAAAUGAGAGGCAGCCCAAGAAGUGCUGCCUGUGGGAUUUUCUUUCCAGCUCUUUGUUUGGAGAGGGGGAAGCUUCUCACAAGAGAAACUCCUUAAGCUGCCAGACUGCUCAAGGGGAGGUUAUCACCGUGUGCUACCAGAGAAAACCCCCAGUGCUCUCCAGAAAGCCUCUCUGUCUGCUCUCCUGGGGCCGUUUCUAAUAAAGCCAACUACAGAAAAACAGAUUCAGCUUCCUCCAGAUGCAUGGAGACAAGAAGUAGAAGUUUUGCCAGUUCUCUGCAUCCUCCUCUGACUCUGCCCCAGUGAGCCCUUCCUGCUGACACUUCAGGAUCCACAGUGCAGCUCCAUCGACCAGGUUCUUCCACUGGCAGCAGACCAGGCGACACACCAGCACCAGAUCCACUGCAGGAAUUUCAGAGGCCCCGGCUGCUGAUGGAGCACCUCCGCUCUCCUCGUUAGCGAGGAUCCCCCACGCUCGGGAGAGGGACGGAGGUACCUUCCCUUUCCCACCGCAGUUCACAGCAUCCUCCCCCAGGACCGUUCCUAUUCCCCUCCGGGACCGGCCCGCAUCACCCUCCGGGA